AGGGGAUAUUGCUUAAUGGGCGAAAGCCUGAAGCAGCAACGCCGCGUGUGUGAAGAAGGCCUUCAGGUUGUAAAACACUUUUUGAGGGGAUGAGGAAGGACAGUACCCUCAGAAUAAGCCUCGGCUAACUACGUGCCAGCAGCCGCGGUAAAACGUAGGAGGCGAACGUUAUCCGGAUUUACUGGGCGUAAAGCGCGUGCAGGCGGCACGGCAAGUUGGAUGUGAAAGCUCCCGGCUUAACUGGGAGAGGUCGUUCAAAACUGCCGAGCUAGAGUGCGGGAGAGGGAGGUGGAAUUCCGGGUGUAGUGGUGAAAUGCGUAGAUAUCCGGAGGAACCCCAGUGGCGAAAGCGGCCUCCUGGUCCGCAACUGACGCUCAGACGCGAAAGCUAGGGUAGCAAACGG
rnacentral:rRNA from 1 species